UACGAAGGGGGCUAGCGUUGUUCGGAAUUACUGGGCGUAAAGCGCGCGUAGGCGGUGCCACAAGUCAGGGGUGAAAUCCCAGAGCUCAACUCUGGAAUUGCCUUUGAAACUGUGGCGCUGGAAUCUCAGAGGGGGUAGUGGAAUUUCUAGUGUAGGGGUGAAAUCCGUAGAUAUUAGAAGGAACACCGGUGGCGAAGGCGGCUACCUGGCUGAGCAUUGACGCUGAGGCGCGAAAGCGUGGGGAUCAAACAGG
rnacentral:rRNA from 1 species